rnacentral:lncRNA from 1 species
AAUCUUUUAAUUUUAAAAAAAUAAAAAAUAAUAAUUUCUCUUGGUAAGACAAUUUUUUAUUUAUUCAAGUUUUGUUUAUGCAAUUUUAAUUAUCAAGAAUUUCUAUUUACUAGAAGUUCUAUUAAUUAAAGAAAAAGGUUUUUAUUAAUAAAAGAUAGUAAAAUAUUUAUUUCAUAGAAAAUUAAAAGAAAUUUUGUAUUUACUGAUAAAUAGAAAAUGAAAAGUAAUUCUAACAAACAAAAAAAACAAAUAAUAUUUGGAUACUGAACACUUCACCACAAAAUCAAAACUUACUCAAAACACUUAAUGUGGAACACUUAACCCCAAAUUUAAAACCCUCUGCCGCCACUGAAUCUGCAACACCUUCAGCAACCAUAAUCUUCGCCACAAAUCUGGUCGAC